GGGGAAUCUUGCGCAAUGGGCGAAAGCCUGACGCAGCAACGCCGCGUGCGGGAUGAAGGCCUUCGGGUUGUAAACCGCUUUCAGCAGGAACGAAAAUGACGGUACCUGCAGAAGAAGGUCCGGCCAACUACGUGCCAGCAGCCGCGGUAACACGUAGGGGCCAAGCGUUGUCCGGAUUUAUUGGGCGUAAAGAGCUCGUAGGCGGUUCGGUAAGUCGGGUGUGAAAACUCUGGGCUCAACCCAGAGACGCCACCCGAUACUGCUGUGACUAGAGUCCGGUAGGGGAGUGGGGAAUUCCUGGUGUAGCGGUGAAAUGCACAGAUAUCAGGAGGAACACCGGUGGCGAAGGCGCCACUCUGGGCCGGUACUGACGCUGAGGAGCGAAAGCGUGGGUAGCAAAC
rnacentral:rRNA from 1 species